GAAAUGCGAUAAGUAAUGUGAAUUGCAGAAUUCAGUGAAUCAUCGAAUCUUUGAACGCACAUUGCGCUCGCCAGUAUUCUGGCGAGCAUGCCUGUUCGGGCGUCAUUUCAACCAUCAAGCUCUGCUUGCGUUGGGGAUCCGCGGCUGCCCGCGGUCCCUCAAAAACAGUGGCGGGCUCGCUAGUCACACCGAGCGUAGUAACUCUACAUCGCUAUGGUCGUGCGGCGGGUUCUUGCCGUAAAACCCCCAAUUUCUAAGGUUGACCUCGGAUCAGGUAGGAAUACCCGCUGAACUUAAGC
rnacentral:misc_RNA from 1 species